rnacentral:rRNA from 1 species
CCUACGGGUGGCAGCAGUGGGGAAUAUUGGGCAAUGGGCGCAAGCCUGACCCAGCAACGCCGCGUGAAGGAAGAAGGCUUUCGGGUUGUAAACUUCUUUUAAGAGGGAAGAGCAGAAGACGGUACCUCUUGAAUAAGCCACGGCUAACUACGUGCAAGCAGCAGCGGUAAUACGUAGGUGGCAAGCGCUGUACGGAUUUACUGGGUGGCAAGGGCGGGCAGCCGGGAGGACAAGUCAGAUGUGUAAUCCCGCGGCCCAACCUCGGAACUGCUUUUGAAACUGGUUACCUUGAGUACCGGAGAGGUCAUCGGAAUUCCUGGUGUAGCGGUGAAAUGCGUAGAUAUAAGGAAGAACACCAGUGGCGAAGGCGGAUGACUGGACGGCAACUGACGGUGAGGCGCGAAAGCGUGGGGAGCAAACAGGAUUAGAUACCCCUGUAGUC